rnacentral:rRNA from 1 species
UACGAAGGGUGCAAACGUUGCUCGGAAUUAUUGGGCGUAAAGCGCACGUAGGCGGCAUUGCAAGUCGGAUGUGAAAUCUUAUGGCUUAACCAUAAAAGUGCAUCCGAAACUGCAGUGCUUGAGUACUUAAGAGGAUCGCGGAAUUCCCGGUGUAGAGGUGAAAUUCGUAGAUAUCUGGAGGAACACCGGUGGCGAAGGCGGCGUCCUGGACCAAUACUGACACUGAGUGAGCGAAAGCCAGGGGAGCAAACGGG